rnacentral:rRNA from 1 species
AGCAGCAGCCGCGGGAAUACGGAGGGAGCUAGCGUUGUUCGGAUUUACUGGGCGUAAAGGGCGCGUAGGCGGGCGAAUAAGUCAGGGGUGAAAUCCCAAGGCUCAACCUUGGAACUGCCUUUGAUACUGUUUGUCUUGAGUUCGAGAGAGGUAAGUGGAACUGCGAGUGUAGAGGUGAAAUUCGUAGAUAUUCGCAAGAACACCAGUGGCGAAGGCGGCUUACUGGCUCGAAACUGACGCUGAGGCGCGAAAGCGUGGGGAGCAAACAGGAUUAGAUACCCCCGUAGUCCCUGUCUCUUAUAA